rnacentral:rRNA from 1 species
UGGGGAAUAUUGCGCAAUGGGCGAAAGCCUGACGCAGCAACGCCGCGUGAGGGAUGAAGGCUUUCGGGUCGUAAACCUCUGUCGGAAGGGAAGAACGGGUGAGGGUCUAAUAGGCCUUCAUUUUGACGGUACUUUUAGAGGAAGCACCGGCUAACUCCGUGCCAGCAGCCGCGGUAAUACGGAGGGUGCAAGCGUUAUUCGGAAUUAUUGGGCGUAAAGCGCACGUAGGCCGCUUUGUAAGUCAGGGGUGAAAUCCCACGGCUCAACCGUGGAACUGCCCUUGAAACUGCGAAGCGUGAAUCCUGGAGAGGGUGGCGGAAUUCCUGGUGUAGGAGUGAAAUCCGUAGAUAUCAGGAGGAACACCGGUGGCGAAGGCGGCCACCUGGACAGGCAUUGACGCUGAGGUGAGAAAGUGUGGGGAGCAAAC